GAGUUUCGGCAGCGCAUAUACUAAAAUUGAAAUGAUACAGAGAAGAUUAGUACAGCCCUGCACAAGGAUGAUAUGCAAAUGGGUGAAGCAUUCCAAAUUUUU